CGGAGAGCCCAACCUCUGACUGAGUACUUGUUUACGCAGUCUGACCACCUGUUGAAGGGCUAUUUGAUGACGAUAUGAACUCCUCUGGGAGAUGAGGACACACCCACAUCUGUUCCAUACUGCAGCCAUUGAUGGUGUUACAGCUCUGAGGCAGCUUUGGGCCAUCAGACGCACACACUGGAAAACCAGCACCUGGACUUCAUGCAGGAGAGACGGCCUCAGUGAUUUAGAAUUAAUCAGCAGCUGUGGAGAGAUGCAUUUGAAUACCUUCUGGUUCCACUUUUCCUAACCUGGAAGCUGAGGAUGGCUGAUUUCUGACAGGGACACACACCUCAGCGCUUAUCAUGGGUGUUACAUCCUCUGUGCCGCGAUUCCAGAGAAAACGAGAGAGCAACGACCACUCAUUAAGACCAGCCAGAAAUCUGUCCCUUUCUGGCAGCUGUGGAAACUUCCAAUAAGAAAGUUUGCAUUCUUAGAACAAUGCUGGGUCAUGUGUGAUGUGUCAUCAUAUGAGGAUAUUACAUUUUGCCUUAAUUCUGCUCAAUUAAGUGUUUUGAUCGUUGAUCCAGUAUGGCAGCUUUGUAUUGUGCUGCAAGUUAAAACCUAUUGUCCUCAUGAGCACAGCAUCUAACAACUCUCCUUAAAAGAAAACGAAUGACUUUAACUGGACACAAUGGUUUCCAGUGGGAGAUACAUUCAUCACUCAUCCGUGACACUGGAGAAGUCACCUGGAUGAGUGAUAAAACAAUUUCCCAUGGAAAAUCCAGAGGAACUAAACUUUGUUGUUUCUCUGGGCUCAAUUUCAGCUCUAGGAGCAUCUCUCAGAAGAAAACAUUUUGCCAAUAAUCAGAUAAAAAGAUUGUUGAACCAGGUGGUAUUCUCUGGAGUUUAAGACCAAA